rnacentral:rRNA from 1 species
GGCGAACGCUGGCGGCGUGCUUAACACAUGCAAGUCGAACGGAAAGGCCUUUUCGGCGGUACUCGAGUGGCGAACGGGUGAGUAACACGUGGGUGAUCUGCCCUGCACUCUGGGAUAAGCCUGGGAAACUGGGUCUAAUACCGGAUAGGACCGCACUUUAGUGUGUGUGGUGGAAAGUUUUUUCGGUGUAGGAUGAGCCCGCGGCCUAUCAGCUUGUUGGUGGGGUAAUGGCCUACCAAGGCGGCGACGGGUAGCCGGACUGAGAGGUUGGUCGGCCACAUUGGGACUGAGAUACGGCCCAGACUCCUACGGGAGGCAGCAGUGGGGAAUAUUGCACAAUGGGCGCAAGCCUGAUGCAGCGACGCCGCGUGGGGGAUGACGGCCUUCGGGUUGUAAACUCCUUUCGCCAGGGACGAAGCGUUUUGUGACGGUACCUGGAGAAGAAGCACCGGCUAACUACGUG